rnacentral:rRNA from 1 species
GACGAACGCUGGCGGCGUGCUUAACACAUGCAAGUCGAACGAAGAGCGAUGGAAGCUUGCUUCUAUCAAUCUUAGUGGCGAACGGGUGAGUAACGCGUAAUCAACCUGCCCUUCAGAGGGGGACAACAGUUGGAAACGACUGCUAAUACCGCAUACGAUCUAAUCUCGGCAUCGAGGAUAGAUGAAAGGUGGCCUCUACAUGUAAGCUAUCACUGAAGGAGGGGAUUGCGUCUGAUUAGCUAGUUGGAGGGGUAACGGCCCACCAAGGCGAUGAUCAGUAGCCGGUCUGAGAGGAGGAACGGCCACAUUGGGACUGAGACACGGCCCAGACCCCUACGGGAGGCAGCAGUGGGGAAUCUUCCGCAAUGGACGAAAGUCUGACGGAGCAACGCCGCGUGAGUGAUGACGGCCUUCGGGUUGUAAAGCUCUGUUAAUCGGGACGAAAGGCCUUCUUGCGAAUAGUGAGAAGGAUUGACGGUACCGGAAUAGAAAGCCACGGCUAACUACGUG